rnacentral:rRNA from 1 species
GACGAACGCUGGCGGCGUGCUUAACACAUGCAAGUCGAACGGAAAGGCCCUGCUUUUGUGGGGUGCUCGAGUGGCGAACGGGUGAGUAACACGUGAGUAACCUGCCCUUGACUUUGGGAUAACUUCAGGAAACUGGGGCUAAUACCGGAUAGGAGCUCCUGCUGCAUGGUGGGGGUUGGAAAGUUUCGGCGGUUGGGGGUGGACUCGCGGCUUAUCAGCUUGUUGGUGGGGUAGUGGCUUACCAAGGCUUUGACGGGUAGCCGGCCUGGGAGGGUGACCGGCCACAUUGGGACUGAGGUACGGCCCAGACUCCUACGGGAGGCAGCAGUGGGGAAUAUUGCACAAUGGGCGGAAGCCUGAUGCAGCAACGCCGCGUGCGGGAUGACGGCCUUCGGGUUGGAAACCGCUUUCGCCUGUGACGAAGCGUGAGUGACGGUAAUGGGUAAAGAAGCACCGGCUAACUACGUG